CCUCUUGAGAUCUGGGAAGAGAGGUUUAUACGCACAGCUCUUACUGGCCUACAUCCGUUACACUCCCCCCCCAAACCUCACUUCCAUCCGGGUCACGGCACCAAUGUAACCCCUCCUGUUUGAACUACCCGCUUUAAGCGGGACUCGAACCCAGGUCCACUGGCAUGGGAGUCAUACGCUCUAACAAGGAGACUAAAGAAUGCAUUCUCUAACAUCAGUCCACUCUUGAUAUCAGGGAAGUGAGGUUUACAUGCACAGCUCUUACUGGCCUAUAUCCAGUCCGGAGUAGUUUUGUAUUUCUCCAUCUUUUUAACUUGAUUAUGCUGUUCGUAAUGCUUCAUGGUAAUGUAGUUCUUUCCCUCACUAAAGCCCUUAAAUUCACAGUCUUGUAUCUUUGUAUCAAAUACUUUUUUGCUUCCAAUCAAAGUUUGUAAUGCUGUGAUUAGCCUCGUAGCUGAUUGGCUUGGUUCAAGGCUUAUAACGUUUUAACGAAGACUUUUUUUUUAAAAUCCCUAUGGGAGAAAUGAAUGAAAUAAAUAUUUCCAGAACCAACUCUGCUGAAAAAGUGGACGGGUGCUGUUGCGCUCUAUAGCAGCUGCAUAACAAUGCACUCAAAACUGUUUUGAACACCAUUGUAUGAUUGUAGUGGCGAGCUUUGCGCUUGUCUUUAUGGGAUUUUGUUUCUGGCUUCCAAACCGAUGUGAUGAUCAAUAUCUCCCUCUCACUGCAGGACUCGGUUAUGUAACGCACUGGAUGCUCCAUUUGCCAACAGGCUCUUACAGUCUGAUUAUGAAUCAUCCCUUGGACUCCAUUUCAAACACAACAAGUGUCUUGCUGUUUUUCUGUUUCAUCCUCCAUUUGGUCUUUUUUUUCCCUCAGCGUUUCACCUUCAAACUCUUUAAUCUCACUGUUUCUCCUUGUGUAGCCUACUGUACGUCCUUUACCCCAACGCCUUUCUCUCUCUCUCGGCAAAGAUUAGCUCUUUUUUAAGGUUAAAUUUUAUAAAAAGCGUGUUAAGUUUCGGUCACACCACGCUCUGACUGGCCAGAUGCUUCCCAUUGUGACGUACGGUUACCCGUCCAAUCAUGUCGAUGGGCUCCUGUGGCCACUUUCCCGCGGCCAGAGACGACAUUGAGGUGUGUGUGAGUUUAAGCGUAUAUAAAUAGACAUUGACCUCCUGUCUAAAAUCAGCAGUCAGGAAGUCAUUAUGCAAGAGCGUGUGUGUGUGUUCAUUUUGGGGUCGGAGUGUGUUAAACAUGCAUUUGUCUCUCUGCUGUUACACUCUUAAUUAGAGCGGUUCAUGGGCCUCCAAAGGUUUCGGUUCUGGAAAUGACACUCGCUGGGGACGUGAAGUGUCAGUCAGCGUUUAAUUAGACUGUUCAUUCCCUUGAUAAUGAAAUGUACGCGUGUGUGUGGGCGCUCAGACACAUUACAGGUAUAACCUUACGCUUUCAUUUUCUUUUGUAUGUCUUUCUUAUGAAUAUCGGACUUCUGCUUAUUUUAAUAUCAAAGUGAUUGUUUUUGCAUCUUGCUUGGGUUCUAAAUAAAAUCGAUUAAAGUU